UACGAUGGAUGGCCGCUGGUGAAAAACCGGGUGUGUCGCCCGGUUUUUUGCUAGAGGAAAGUCCGGACUCGGCUGCCCGCUGGCUGCCGGUCCCGGUGGCCGGCGGCAGAAAGUUGGCGCCCGCCGCAAGGCGGGGCGGAGCGAUCCGACGGAUGCGAACGGGGCCCUCGCCGGUCCCUAGUAGCUAUAAAAGGGCCAUAGAGACGAGUCCCGCCGGCGACGGCGGGAGUGGAACGUGGUAACCCCCGCCACCGAGCAACCCAAAUUAUGGUAGGGGCAGUCCCGCAAGGGACCAUCCGGCUGCGGCCGGGUGAGAUAGAUGGCCAUCCUCGACAGAAUCCGGCUUACAGUC
rnacentral:RNase_P_RNA from 1 species